UCGGACCGGUCCAGAGACCGCCUCCAGUUUGCCCUCCGUCAAGGGCGUGUGCUCCGCGUGACCUCACUCGGCCCAUCCAGCCUCGGCCAAACUUGCCAGCCUCCGCAGCGUGAGGGAGGUACUGGCUCCAAGAGCAACUACGUCGUGGUUCUUUUCUGUGUGUGAGCCCCUGGUGGGCAGUCGAGGCAGUGGUGGUGCCCUGAGCCAGGACUGGCGUCGCGCCUGCAGACCUGGGCAGUGAGUGCUGGGCUCCACCGGCCCCAGCUCCGGGAAGCCUGGGGAAGGGAGAAGGGAGAAGUCUGACCUGGGGCCCCGGGACAGAAAAGCAGGUGGUCCAGGGGUGCUCAGAUCCACAAGAGCACACCUCGGAGACCAUUCGGCUCCUCUGCUGGUGACUUACAAACCCACAUGGAGCUGACACUUGGAUGCCUGUGUCCUGGGGAGUCCAGGCUGGAAGCUCUUACCCAUCACUGUACAGGGAGCUGAGAUGCUGGGCGCUGGCACACCCACCUUUACUGACGGAAGUACACCCUGCCACCAGCUCUGCAGAGGACACCCUGGCAACGACUACUCAGAUGACAGACCUGUGAACUCACAAUGCAACCUGGGGGAGCUAGCCUGCAGGCUAUACCCGCACACCUACAAAAUGGGAUGUGAGCUUGCUCACGCAGUGUGGUGAACGCCUCAAAACAACUCAUGCUCUUCUAGGCUUUGUUACAUGCACUUAACAGACCCUCACACCACAGACUCCUAUGAAGAAGGAGCUGAACAGUUUCUUUCUCAACUGAGAUGGAAAGAUCUCUGGGGGAUGGCACUGAGAGAAAAGCGAGCUCCCAAGCAGGACGCUCAGUCUGGAGGCCGUUUCACGUGCGUGCAGAUCUGCCUGGAUCUGAGAUGCUCCGGGUGGGUACCUGAGGACACAGGACCAGUAGUCGGUGGGGGCAGAGAGCUAGGCCCCUGGAGGACAAGGACUCGGAGAACUUUCCUUGGAAAGGGACUUAAAUGCCCUGAAUUUUGAAACAUACAAUGUGUUUACCUAAAAAUUAAAAACACAAAUCCAAACACAAAGCAAACUCAAAUGGCAGCCGCAAAUUCUACCUUUCUACAAGUUCCCAGGGCAGGACUGGGACUCUACCCAGACUCCACAGCCCCGCUCACACUGCAAACGGCUGGAUGGAGGCCUCUCCCUGAUAAACAGUGUGACAGACCUGGUAUGGCUUAAAAGACAGCAGAGACGCAUUCCAACAGCAGCAGACCCGGGGCUGUAAUCAUGCCUGGAGGCCCCCCAGGUUCCUGCCAUAAAAGUCGCUCUGUCCAUUCUCCUACGAUGGACCAUUUAGCACCAGCCUGGGUGGAUCCGGCAGGCACCGGCUGCCACCCAUCCUCCUCCUGCAACCCAGGAGAGUUCAUCCCACUGCAAGGAUGAAUACCCCAAGUUCAAGGCAGGAGAAUGGGAGUCCUCUGCCAGGGCCAGGAAAGAGGGAGGGACUGGGUGUCCUGUGCAGGCUCCUGGAAAAGGCUUUCCUCCUGGACCAAAAAAGACAGGAUGAGGGCAGGGCGUAUGCGGGAUGGGGGAGCAGGAAUGGCAUGGAAAAGCCUCUGAGGCUCGGAGGUGGGGGAGACCUUGGGGUGACGAUAGUCACCAGUAGCUGCAAAGAAGUCCUUGGCGACUCCCAGGGGGGCCAGACUACUCCUUGAUACAGAUGAGUCCUUGGCCAAGCUGGGGCCCCACACUACCCCCGCCCCAAAAAAGCCAGCUCUACGUGGUCAGCAGGGCCACCAGGGCCCCAGAGAAAGGGCCUGGCCCAGGGGGCGGGGCACGCCACCCCCUGUUCUCAGGCAGAGGCUAUGCAAGCACUCUGGCCCUACUUCCUCUUCCUGUGUCCCCUCCCCCAGCCCUCAGGUUCCUCCCCCUGUGCCUCCCAGGCAGGGAACCAGUCCCUAUGGUGCAUGGGCGUGGUGCGCUAUUCAGGACUGCACCCACCCCAAGAGGCAGGUGGGUGCAGUAUGAACCAUCUGUAAGAUGGGACCUGAGGUCAAAUGUCAGAAUGGCCUCACCCAGCUCACACGAGGGGAUGGCAUGUCAGGAUUUCCCCCCUCCCCACCAUGGAUCAGGCUCUACUAUGGCCAGCCGCCCACGCUGACCCUGGCCACUAACAUCUGGGGUGACAGCAGGAGAGGAACCCUGGAAGCUACCGCCCAUCAUCCAGACAGCCUGGGGAGCCACACCUGCCCCAGUGCAGUCACAAGGCCCCCCUCAGCUCCUCAGGGUAGGGCUGGCAGACCCCCAAUCCCAGGCAAGGGCGUCCCUGUCGGCGCCCACCAUGCAGAAGGAGCCAGGCCGCUCUCUUCCCUGAGAGGCUGGCCUGUCUGUCUUCAAGGCCUAAGCGCCCAGAGGUUGCACCCUCAAAAAACCUGAGCCCAGGCUCUGCCUCCAGGCCUGGUGCCUACAGCCAGCCUAUUCCAGGGACAAGAAGUAGGCCAUUUCCCUUAGAGGAAAAAAGUCACGAGGCUCGAACAGAACAAAGUCAAACGGUGGACUUUUCAGAGCUGAUUUCAUAAAACAAGUAAAUCAGAAUAAAAACAAGUAAGCCAUUUA